GACAGAGGGUGCAAACGUUGUUCGGAAUUACUGGGCGUAAAGCGUGCGUAGGUGGUGAGUUAAGUCUGUCGUGAAAGCCCCGGGCUCAACCUGGGAAUGGCGAUGGAUACUGGCUCGCUAGAGUGCGGUAGAGGAGAGUGGAAUUCCCGGUGUAGCAGUGAAAUGCGUAGAGAUCGGGAGGAACAUCAGUUGCGAAGGCGGCUCUCUGGACCAGCACUGACACUGAGGCACGAAAGCGUGGGGAGCAAACAGG
rnacentral:rRNA from 1 species